CUCAUUAUAAUAGGGACUCAUUCGUGGAAAUAACAUAUUGUAAUUUCAGAGAUGCCUAAUAAAAGGAUUAAUCACUGAAGUAAUUCUACUCAGUGCAGUUUCAUCAUGUUGAUCAAGAUCGAGGAUCAUCAGGAUAGUGUUUAUUGAACUCUGCAUGAAGUCACAAAACAUGUAGAGGGUCGGCCAUUCCAGGACAGCUGAAUUGAUUGUUCUGUCUCUGCUCUUAAUUUGCUUUUUUUUUCCCCCUCCCAAUUUCAAGUUACUGGUUUAUUUCUUGCUUCAGUUUCAGCAUUGGGUUCCUCUGUUCACAUCAGCCAGCUGACCCUUUUUAUUUUCUCAUCUGAGAAGCAAUAUGGGGCCUAUUUCAUUUAGUGGUGUUUUUCCCAGUACAUAUUUUAUUUCAUGAAACAUGGAUCAUUCCUGCCUUGGUUAUGGAUUUAUCAAAUGGUUGAGGUUUCAUAGAGUGUAAAAUCUGUCUACUCCUGGAACAGCCAUUACCAGCAGCACCUGUGGCCACCUCCGUUCACUCAUGUCUGUUCUAGGAGUUCUUAAUUGGUCCAGUCUCUGGUUUCUGUGUCUCACAAAAUACUUCUUUAGACAUUUGUUCCCAGUCUGGUUGAUGGUGACACAUGGAUUGAAAUCAGUUGUUUUACAGAUGGCAGCUGGAUAGGGGAGAGAGAGAAUGCUGAUCACAGAAGCAGCCCCUGCCUGGGCACCAUGCUGCAAAUGGCGGAGUCAGACCAGAUCCCCAGUCUUAACCCUUUGACAUCUUUUUCUGGUUGCUACACCAUAAGAAAGCCUGGGUGUUUUAGUCAGCUUUUUUCACUGCUGUGACUAAAAGGACCCAACCAGAACAACUGUAGAGGAGGAAAAGGUUAUCAGAGGGCUCAUGGUUUCAGAGGUCUGAGUCCAUAGAAAGCUAGCUCCAUUCCUCAGGGCUGGAGGUGAG
rnacentral:lncRNA from 1 species